AUUGAACGCUGGCGGCAGGCCUAACACAUGCAAGUCGAGCGAGCGGCGGACGGGUGAGUAAUGUAUGGGGAUCUGCCCGAUAGAGGGGGAUAACUAAUGGAAACGAUUGCUAAUACCGCAUACUAUCGGAUGAACCGAAGUGGGUUUAGCUAGGAGGAUGGGUAAAGGCUCACCUAGGCGACGAUCUCUAGCUUGGCUGAGAGGAUGAUCAGCCACACUGGGACUGAGACACGGCCCAGACUCCUACGGGAGGCAGCAGUGGGGAAUAUUGGACAAUGGGCGAAAGCCUGAUGCAGCCAUGCCGCGUGUAUGAAGAAGGCCUUAGGGUUGUAAAGUACUUUAAGCGGGGAGGCGUUACCCGCAGAAGAAGCACCGGCUAACUCCGUGCCAGCAGCCGCGGUAAUUC
rnacentral:rRNA from 1 species